GCCGGCCCGCCGCCUUCCAGCCUUCCAGCCGCUCCAGCUGGCCCUGCUGCCGGUGUCCAGUGGCUGAAGGGAUUCUCUGAAACGUUUUGACUACACCCAGGUUUUACCUUCAAUGAAGUAAGGGAGGCCCAGGGAAAUUAGGGUUUCCCCAGAGUUACCAUGUUCCUCAUGAGUGCUGCUUGCUAAGCAUCCUGCUCUCUGUCUUCCAGGCCCCUGGCAGGAUCACACUCCUGCCACUCUGUGGUUGGGCAGAGCCACACGACUGGCUCUGGCCAAUGAGUUCUGAGCAGAAAUUGUGUGUGUCUUUUCCAAACUGGAGCAUUUAAAUGACACCAUGAGACCCUCCAGAAGUCUCCCUUCCCCGUGUCAGGGCAACCAACAAGUUAGUGAUAGCGGCUGCUCCAUCAGCUUGAGUCCCAGGGCUGGGGUUGGAGCAAAGGCCCCUGUGGACUCAGAAUGUACAUUUGAAAUGAACAAGGAGUAGACACUUGGGUUGAAGACAUCACACUUUUUAGGCUAGGCAAAAACCAAAGUGUUUUUCUUAUUCUCACAAACCACUCGCCACAAUACUUCUGACAUCUGGAGGAGAGUUUUCCCCAAACCUUCGAUUCAGUUAUUUUCCAUACUGACACUGUGCACACGGAGGCAGCGUCAGCUCUCACACGGGGAGGGAUCAGUCCCAGACUGCCCCCUACUUCAGUGCCAAGCACAAGGCCCAGGUUGUUUCACCUGUCUUCUGACUGAGGGUCUAAAUGGAGGUUCCCACGGCACCCUCUCAAAUUUGAAGAACUUGUUAGAAUGGCUCUCAGAACUCAGGGAAACAUUUUAUCCACACUAACCCACUUAUUAUAGAGGAUAUUACAAAGGGUAUGAUGAACAGCCAGAUCCAAGAGGUGUACAGGUCAGGGCACAUGGGAGGGGACAGAGGGGUCCCGUGUCCAAUCCAGGCAUGCCGUCCUCCAGAACUGCUGUGUCUUGCUAUCCGGAAGCUCUCUGAACCCUAUCCUUGUGGGUUUCACGGGGGCUUCAUUACAGCCAUGAUUGAUCGUUUCAUUGGCACUGGUGAUCAACUCCAUCUUCAAACUCCUCCUCUCCCAGAGGUUGAGAGGUAAAGCUGAAAGUCCCAACUGUCUGCGCCUGCAUGAGUCUUUCUGGUGACCAGUACCAGAUCCAGACGCCAUUAGUCAUCUCACUAGCAUAUAAAAGACAUUUACCACUCCAAAGAUUCCAGGGGCUUUAGACGCUGUGUGCCAGAAAAUAGGAGGAAGAACAAAUAUGUAUUUCACAAUAUCACAAAGCCAUUAUCACAGCACUAUCACAGUAUUUCACAUUAUCACAGCAGGGCUCAGCCUAUCCUGAUACAGCCACCAAGUUGGAUUUUUUGCAGGGUGAGUGUACUAUGCUAGGCAUUUUCACUUGAUCUUCCUGAGUUCUCAAGGAUCUCCUUGGCUGGUGAUACCUCACCAUAAAAGGAGACCAGCCAUAGACGUUAGAUGGCCCUAUCUGAGCCCACUCUGCCACCAGAACCCCUGACCCCAAACAGUAGCUCUCCCAGGACCCUGCAGCCAUUCAGCUUAGACAGGGGCAGCAGGGAGCUCCCAAGGUGUGAGUCCUGUGUUCUCAAAUGGCUGUAGUUGCUGGCAUCUUCCUGCAGGCUUCUUAAGGAAACCAGACUCGUCACUCAGCUCAGCUCACAAGCAGGCCAGGUGAGCCACAGCUGAGGACAGGGCCACGGUCAUCCUCUCAUCUGUCUGUGUGUUCUACACCUGGUCACUCCAUCUGUUCUGCUCAAGGCAGGAAGAGGAAGGACAAUGAAAAAAAGGAAGAACCUGAAGUCUUUGCUACCUUCCAGAUGCCCUCAGGGUAAGACAAGGAAGUCUUGGACCUGAGUGUCCUGGUCCUCAGUCCCUGGUUGCUACUGAUCCCUGGGGAGGUGAGACCUGUCACCUCCUUGGCUCUCAGUUUCCUUGGAGUUAAAAGAGUGAUUGACAUUGGGCCUACAUCACAGAGUUUGAAUUAAAUCAAAUAAGAAAUGUGAAAUGAUGUUGGAAAAAAACCAAACCAAUGUUCGAUGUGAAUGAAGCUUACAGAACACAGGAAUGGCAUGUCAUGGGGAUGCCCCUGAGUCACCAAAGAGAAGAGUACGAUAUGGUGUUCCCAUGGGUGCCAUUCCAUGAGCAUCUUCUUCCAGCAGAGACCCCCAACUGGGAGCCCUUCUUCUCCUCCCAGAGAGUGGAAAGGAACAGCCUGCCCAACACUACCAGAUGUCAGACAGACACUGUGAAGAUGAUCCUGAGAACAAAGAUGCAAGAGAAAAGUUGGUUCCAGGCUUAAUAACCAUCUGUGGGAAUCCUGAAGAAUGUACUGGAGACAUCAAACCUUGAUGAAAAUCCACUGACUCAAAAGCUUAAUGCUCAGCUGAGAGGAAGGAGACUCUGACGUUUGCCACAGAUGGGAGGACCUGGAGGGCUCUAGGUGAUCGAAACAACCCAGUAACAAAAGAACAAGGACUGUGUGAUUCUACCAGGAUAAGGGACCUGGAGGAGGCAAAGUCAUAGAGGAGAAAGUAGAAAGCUACCAAGGAUGGUGGCAAGGGAUGGGGAGCAAUUGUUUAACGGGUUCUGAAUUUCAGUUUGAGUUCAGUAUUUCAGUCACAAAAAUACUGGAAAUAAAUGGUGAUGCUUGUCCUAUGCUGUGAAUGUAUUUAAUCCCAUUGAAAUACUAACUCAAAAGAGGGUAAAAUGGUAAAAUCUUAUGUCUACUUUACUGAGAUACUAAAACUAGUUUGAAACCAAGAACCUUGAACUAAGAAUACAGCAGAUUUUAAGCCCAGGAGCGGAGGGAGAGCCAGGAGCACAGGGCUGGAGGUGGGGCAGGGGUUGCAGAAAAGGAGCACCUGAGUCCAAGCCAGUGCCACCUCCUGGUUAUGCUGCUUGGGGUUCCACCAGGAGGUGCUGUCAGAUGUCACAGUAGCAUCGUCAUAGUCACACAGAUUGAAGUCUAUGCCUGCAGAAGCACCAUCUUGAAACAUAUAUGGUUCUCAUGUCACAGUGUGAUGUCAUUCACCCCAACACAAAUCCUUCUGACUUCCUAGGGUCCUGGGUUUAAACAAAGGGGAGGUGGCCUUCAGCUAAAGAUCUGGGUGUGGGAACCUCAUUGUCUUAGUCCUUUUGAGCUGCUAUAACAAAGUACCAUAACCCAAAUAGUUUACAAACAACAGCAGUAUAUUUCUCACAGCUCUGGAGGCUGGAAGUCUGAGAUCAACAUGGCCAAGGUCUGGUGAGGGACCCCUUGGGGGUUGGAGGCCUCCCUCCCCUCAUAUGGUGGAAAAGGGCAACAGAGCUGUCUGGGGUUCCUUUAAUGGGGCACUGAUUCCAUUCAGAAGGCCUCCACCCUUAGGGCCUAAUCUCGUCUUCAAACCCCAACCAUUGAGUAGCAUCACACUGGAAGUCAGGAUGUCAGUAUAUGAAUUUUAGGGGGACACAAAUAUUUUGUUUAUAGCUAUUAAAAUUGAGAUUCUGCUGUCCCAAGUGAAUAAAAUCAAGAAAGCCCUAAUCCCAUCCCUGCUAAUAUUGUUCUGUCCAAAUGAGGCUUGGUGUAUCUGGUGUGUGACCCAUGACUGUUAUCAUUCCCUGAUGACAUUAUUAAGCAGCAUAUAGGAAGGUGGAGUGCAUCCACCACAGCUCUGUUCUGGAACAGAAGUGGUUGGAGGCUGAGAAGAGAGGGAAGUUCAGGGUAUGGACACAGCUCAUGGGGAGGAGACGGAGUCACAGGACCAGAGCUGGUCCCCUGAGAAAACAGGGUGCUCAACCACUAGCACCUGGGACCUCUUGGACCAG